rnacentral:tRNA from 1 species
UAGAAAAGAAUAAAAAAUUGCCUUUUAAGCAAUGGGUCUGGAGUUCGAAUCUCCAGCGGGUCACCA